rnacentral:rRNA from 1 species
CCUGAGAAACCCAAAAGAUCGAAUGGGGAGAUUCAUCGUCAGCUCAUUUUGUAUAUGUAUGAGUUACGAUGCGGGUUACUACUUGUAGUAUUGCCUGCACGUUCUUGUAUAUUUAGUUGCAAAAUGUUGUCGUCGUGCACUUCUCCCCUAGUAGGACGUCGCGACCCGUUGGGUGUUGGUCUACGGCCCAAGUGGGAGCCUUUGAUGUUUUAUAACAUUAAAGACCCUUGGUGUUUUCUGACCGGCUACUCGGCGGUACUCGUACGGUAUUAAGCCGCAUUCUAUGCGUUCAUAUCCGUCGCAAGCGCGGCCAAUUUCUAGUAGUACGGACCUAGUGCCGUCGCUGGUAUUGGCCAGCUGUUGGUUGURCGGUGUUCUAGAACUGGCUAAAUUUUUACCGGUCGGCGAUGCUACUGCUUUGGGUACUUUCAGGACCCGUCUUGAAACACGGACCAAGGA